rnacentral:tRNA from 1 species
GCGCCCGUAGCUCAAUGGAUAGAGUGUCUCCCUCCGAAGGAGAAGGUUGUGGGUUCGACCCCCGCCGGGCGCACCA